UACAGAGGUCUCAAGCGUUGUUCGGAUUCAUUGGGCGUAAAGGGUGUGUAGGUGCGCGCUAAGUCGGGUGUGAAAUUUCGGAGCUUAACUCCGAAACUGCAUUCGAUACUGGCGUGCUCGAGGACUGGAGAGGAGACUGGAAUUACGGUGUAGCAGUGAAAUGCGUAGAGAUCGUAAGGAAGACCAGUGGCGAAGGCGGGUCUCUGGA
rnacentral:rRNA from 1 species